GCCAGUGUGGUGAAAUGGUUUGAGUGUUGGACUACAACUCUGGUGAUCCAGGGUUUGAUUCCCUGCUCGAGCA